GUCCGUCAUGCAGGGAUGGGAUUUUGAUUUUCGAUUAGAAAGAAAGCCUUGAUUACAAACAAUAUAAAUAAAUGGCUCGCAAGUCGCCACCGCCAAAUCCAAUCAACUUGUCUCCUCGGAAUCCUUCUCCCGUGAUCGGCGGAUUGUGAAUGCCGUUCACCGAGAUUUUCUCCGGUACGUUAGCAUUGAUUUGUUUCUAUUUCUAUUUCUUCCAUUUCCACACGUGGUGGUUAUGAGUUACUCUGUUUCUUCAGAUUUACCUUCUUCAUUGCUUAUAUGCUCUCUCUCUUCUAACUUGCCUGAGAUUUGUUCGUGAGGUUUUAAGAACCCAAUCUUUUGAUCUCUGUCUGGAUUUUGAUUUCACACACACAUGCAAAUCUCCCGAGACUAGAAAGUAGCUUUUUUUUUUUUUUUUUUUUUUUUUU
rnacentral:lncRNA from 1 species